GUUGGGCGGGCGGCAGUCGACGUCCCGACGUCGCUCCGGCCAUACAGAAAGUCGCGAGUGUUGUGCUGACAGCUGAUUCUCACGUGAUGUGUGUUUGUUGAUUGUUGAUUUGUGUUAGGUGAGUGGCGUUUUUGGUUGGGAUUCAACCGCCACGAAUGGUGAACUGCUAAUAUUAUGCACUAUACCCAAGCAAGGGAGAGGUCUGUCAGGUGGGGUGCAAUUAUCUCGUGAUCACGUCCUAAACAGCACGGUGGAAGGGUAAGCGAAUGGAAUCAAACCCUUUUGUUUCUCCCGCAGUUAGGUAAUUAGUUGGCAAUUUAAUAUCUAACUUUGAAAUUGAUUUGUCGCGUUCAGAUUUAAUUAAUUGCUGUUUGGUAUGUGAUAUCUAGAUUGCGAGUGUCAUAU